rnacentral:rRNA from 1 species
AUACGGAGGGUGCAAGCGUUACUCGGAAUCACUGGGCGUAAAGCGCGCGCAGGCGGCUUGGUAAGUUGGAUGUGAAAGCCUACGGCUCAACCGUAGAACUGCAUCCAAAACUGUCAAGCUAGAGUGUGGGAGAGGAAGAUGGAAUUAGUUGUGUAGGGGUAAAAUCCGUAGAGAUAACUAGGAGUACCAAAAGCGAAGGCAAUCUUCUGGAACACUACUGACGCUGAGGCGCGAAAGCGUGGGGAGCGAACAGGAUUAGAAACCCUAGUAGUCC